UGAAAAAAUACAAUAUAAAAGAUAUUAUGACAAAGUAAUAUUAAAUCGAGCAUGCGUACAGCGCCUUUCCAAAGUAAAGUCGGUUUAUAAUAUAUUUUGGCUUAUUUCGUCUUAAUAUUACUUUUAACGGACAUAGUUGUAUACUGUCAUGGAAAAUACAAUCUGAUAGCUAUGAUACUCAUUGGUCUCAUGGUAGUAAAAACUGAAGGUAGCAUCGUGUGUUACGCAUCAUGUUUUGCUGCAUUUGCUACGGCAGGUCAUUAUGGUGGACCAGUGGGACUUGCUGUGCUCGGAUUUACCACCACUGGUAUAGCACCUGGAUCAUGGGCGGCUUGGUGGAUGUCCUUAUAUGGAGGAAAGGUUGCGAAAGGAAGGUUGUUAAGCACGUUACAAAGCAUUGCUGCCAAGGGAGGAAUGAAAGGGAAGGGAAUAUUUUUCAUUAAUGAUGUAUGCAUCUACCUAUGCUAUGACUAAUAAUCGACAGUUUCUACAGUGUAACGUCAAAAGCGUUCCACCUAUCCCAAAUUCCCAAAUUUUUAUAUUGUUAUUAAUCAAUAUUUUUAUGACAUGUCAUUACAGAGAAACAAUUAUUAAUUGAAAUUAAGUGUCAAUUUUUUCCUAUAUAGCCAUAUGAUUUUUAUUAAAAAUAUGUUUUUAUAUGAAAUAAUAAGGGAAUAUCCGAUAGACGAAACAAAGUUGACAUAAGCAUGUAUGUUUAUAAGUUACCAAGCACUAUUUUAGUCAUCUAUAUAUUACUGUUAUGUUUGCAAUUGAUUUGACAAAUUAUUCCUUAGAUAAUUAUAACAUUGUCUGAGAAAUUUAAUUGGUAAGUGAUGUUUCUGUCUCAUUUACAUACUAUACAUUUUUUCAUGCUGAAAUUUUAUAGUUAAAUAUUUUAUAAUCAAAAUUGAGUUUGACUGUUAAUUUUUGUUCUAUUUGCUCUAUUUUAUAUGUUUGGUCUUAUUUAUUAUUUUCAUGUUUUUCCUGCCGCUUGCUUGAACUUUCCCAAAUAAUCCUCAUCGUCCUGGUGGAACUUGUUUAAAUCGAAUGUUGCCAUUAUCAAUUUUGUGUCAUAAUUUUCAAUCAUGUUUUUAGAUCUUCACAACAA